CCUACGGGAGGCAGCAGUGAGGAAUAUUGGUCAAUGGACGAGAGUCUGAACCAGCCAAGUAGCGUGAAGGAUGACUGCCCUAUGGGUUGUAAACUUCUUUUAUAAAGGAAUAAAACGAGGCACGUGUGCCUUUUUGCAUGUACUUUAUGAAUAAGGAUCGGCUAACUCCGUGCCAGCAGCCGCGGUAAUACGGAGGAUCCGAGCGUUAUCCGGAUUUAUUGGGUUUAAAGGGAGCGUAGAUGGGUUGUUAAGUCAGUUGUGAAAGUUUGCGGCUCAACCGUAAAAUUGCAAUUGAUACUGGUUGUCUUGAGUACAUUUGAGGUAGGCGGAAUGCGUGGUGUAGCGGUGAAAUGCAUAGAUAUCACGCAGAACCCCGAUUGCGAAGGCAGUUUACGAAACUAUGACUGACAUUGAUGCACGAAAGUGUGGGUAUCAAACAGGAUUAGAUACCCGAGUAGUC
rnacentral:rRNA from 1 species